rnacentral:rRNA from 1 species
GAUGAACGCUGACAGAAUGCUUAACACUGCAAGUCUUUGGCGAAGCUGUGCUUGCACAGCCUAGCCAAGGCGGACGGGUGAGUAACGCGUAAGGAACUUGCCCUGCAGUCAGGGAUAACAGACGGAAACGACUGAUAAGACCUGGUAAAGUCAGGCGGACUCAUGUCCAGCCUGAUGAAAAGAGAUGCUGCAGGAGAGCCUUGCGUCCUAUUAGCUUGUUGGUGGGGUAACGGCCCACCAAGGCGAUGAUAGGUAGCCGGCCUGAGAGGGUGGACGGCCACAAGGGGACUGAGAUACGGCCCUUACUCCUACGGGAGGCAGCAGUGGGGAAUAUUGGACAAUGGGGGCAACCCUGAUCCAGCAAUUCUGUGUGCACGAUGAAGGUUUUCGGAUUGUAAAGUGCUUUCAGCAGGGAAGAAAAAAAUGACGGUACCUGCAGAAGAAGCGACGGCUAAAUACGUG